rnacentral:misc_RNA from 1 species
AUUACCGAAGUUACCUUCAAAACCCACUGUGAACCUUACCUCUUGCCGCGUUGUCUCGGCGGGAGGCGGGGUGCGUCAAGGCCCUCGGGCCGCGCCGCUCCCCGUCCCCGCCGGCGGCGCCAACUCUAAAUGCACAGCGGACUGUACGUUCUGAUUUACAAAAAAAACAAGUUAAAACUUUCAACAACGGAUCUCUUGGUUCUGGCAUCGUAAGCAACGCAGCCAACGAUCACGACCGGC